AGCCACAUAGCUCAGUUGGUAGAGCGGUCUGCAAAACAGAUGCGUCGCCGGUUCGAUUCCGGCUGUGGUUC
rnacentral:tRNA from 1 species